AAAGACAGCCGAGUCACAAGGUUGAAUUUCCUGGGAGCAGAGACUCUGAGACAGACCUGAAGUAGUGAAAGGACGUAGGAUCGGGAACAGAGACAAGCCAAGGUAUCGUACAGUCUCAAUAGAAGACCCAGCAGAACUGCGGUGACCUCUGGGACAGGGACCCUGUUAGAGAUCCUGGCCUGGAAUCACGGUCAGGCUGUCCUGCUGGACAUGUUAAUCCACUCCUGGAUGUGAGCUGCCCUGGAAGGGAAUGUGACCUUGAGUGAAGCCCUUUUCUGCUGAGGCAAAACCACUUGCAGGCUGACAGCCGAGGGCCCUCCUCUGGCAGUGGGGCAAACAGGGACUCUAAGAUGGACUUUGUCAAUCAGUAGAUUCUUCAGCGACCUCAUUGUGCUUGGAAUGGCGAGAUUGGCAGCAAUUCAUAACUGUUG